rnacentral:rRNA from 1 species
UACGGAGGAUGCGAGCGUUAUCCGGAUUUAUUGGGUUUAAAGGGUGCGCAGGCGGCACGGCAAGCCGGCGGUCAAAUCGCGGGGCUCAACCCCGCCCAGCCGUCGGAACUGCCGGGCUAGAGUGGGCGAGAAGUGCGCGGAAUGCGUGGUGUAGCGGUGAAAUGCAUAGAUAUCACGCAGAACUCCGAUUGCGAAGGCAGCGCACCGGCGCCCUACUGACGCUCAGGCACGAAAGCGUGGGGAGCAAACAGG